CACAAACAUUUGAAGGACUGGUAGAACUUUCCUCUCUUCUACUUCAAGCACCUUCUCAUAUUUCCCUUCCUGCCCGAGCCCCUGUGACACUAAUUCAAGUACAGCUAAGUACACUUGAAAAAUAAACCUCUCUACUGUAAAAGCCACACUCAGUACUGUCAGGUAAAGGUACAGGUGGAAGGGUUUGUAGGACUGGAGCCUGAAGGAGAUCCUCAGUGGCUGCAGCUUUAACCAUAACUAUGUAGGAAAUAUUUGGUGCUCUGGAUACUUCCAGUCUUUAUUAUAAAUCACCACUUUAAAGAAGACCAACAGCUUCAAUGAACACAUACAGAGAGAAGCAAAGUCUAGACAUACUAUCUCCUCUGCUUACCCAUCCUAGAAGGGAUAUAAAUAAAGAAGAAAAAUAACAACAACAAAACCGCAACGGUUCCAAUCUCAUCUCUAUUCUGUGAGGUCUUGCUACCAAUGACACUACCUUUGAAAGAAACUAAAGACUGAAUACAUUUCUCACCCAAGUCACCUUGCCUUCUGUUACUGCAAGUGCAAUGAACUGCCUUUCUACUACUCAAGAGAUGAUAAUUCAGAGACAAUGACCAAAAAGUUUUCUUCCUUCUCUGCCUGGAUAGACAUCAAAGCAUCCUCCCAAACAGGAAGGGAACUACAGACAUUUGUGGAUCUCUGCUCAGCAGAUAUAAACUCUCACCUAAAUGAAAGUGAUUAAAGAAAACAUACCCCAUAACAAACAAAAGAAAACUUUCAAAAACCCUCUUGAAAAAAGAAGAAACAGGAAAAAAAGAAAGGCAUUUGAAAAUGUGAUUAACUUACCAUUAUAUUUUUCUUAUGGCGUUUUUCUUUAAUAUGCUUGUGAGCUCCCUGGAUAUUUUCAAUGUGAACUAAGCAGAGCUUGCAUAGAUACUGACAGUUGGUGUAUUCUGGAGAGCGCUGGGAAAAAACAGCCAUAGGUUAACAGAAAAUAUUUCUGACAUCAGUGUCUGAAAAACUCCACUGUUUGAAUAACAAAUUCUAUUUAACAAUUAUUCAACGCUUGUAACAUAAAAGUGCUUUGUAAAUAUUAUGUAAUCUUCAAAAAAAACAAAAACACAUGGUGCAAGUGGAUUUUUACCCAAAUGACAAGAGGGGAAAGUGAAGAAAUGAAGUGAGGUGAGUUGAUCAUUAGACUUCUCAUUAUAUUUUUGUGAAGCAAGAUAAAGACCAAACAGUUUCUGCCUCUUAAAGCUGAACUGUAGAUUAAAUAUGAAUGUAAAACAUGACGGCAAUUACACUUUUCAUAUAAAUUCUCUCUGUCCUUAUUUUCUUUGAUAGCUGAUAAUUAAACACCCAUUUGGAACAGAAUGUACACCUACACUUGGCUAGUUUGGAAGAGUCAUGUAUUCAAUCCCAGACGACUGAAGCAGAUCAGAAGUAAUACUCUAACACUUCUAAAAUUAAAUGGCUAUCAGCAUUAAAAACAAUUGGGUACUCCUUUACAAUACUAAUCUGCAGUAUUAUGCCCAUAGUUGCCAGAAAGGCUGAAUCACAUAAGGCCUUUUAUUUCACCUCUAUUGUGAAGCCCAUUUCCAUCAUGUAGAUAUGCUUAACACCAAUGAAAGCAGAAAGAAUUUUAUAAAUAAAUAAAUAAGUAGCUUCAGACUAUUAUCAGAGUAAAUUAGAAACCUCAAGAGAAGCCAAGCCUAUUGAUAUUUGUGUUUGGCUACUUAAGAGUGGUAGCUAUAAGGUGGCUGUAUUUUAAAGAACUCACAUAAUGGAAAGAUUCCAGAUCAUUAGGAAAGAAAAACUCAAGACUAUCAUUAAUAGGCUAGAGAGGAUGAGUCAGUUAGAGACCAGCCAGAAUUAAUGUCCAGAAAAAUCCUGUAAUAAAUAACUAUUAAUAACCAUUCAGGAAAGAAACAGGCCAUAGGUGACAAACUGAUUUGCUAUAAACCAAACUAUACUACACCAAUUUUAGGGUUGUUUUCUAAAAGAACACCAUAAAGCUUGAAUAAGCAGCAGAUGUUGCAUACUGAAUUUUACGAAGUUUUUCUCACUUGUCAUAGUAUCUUUCUAAAAAGAAGGUGGUGAAUACUAUCUAAAUAAAGAACAGUAAGGAGAGAGUAAAGUUGCUCAGAAAAUCAUCCUCAGAGCACACAUACCUAGGCUGGUUCAUCACCAGUCUAAAAGCAUGUGCCAAGUAGGUUUCAACAGGGGUCUCUCCGGGGUGAGAUUCAUUCACAUUUUUGUUAAGAGAUUUACAAAGUGCAAACGAGAGCGUGCUGACUACAGAUGAGAAAGAUAAUGCUAGAAGCGAUUAUGCAUUUUGCGUUAAGAUGACAGUUCACUGAUCAGAAGAAAUCAGAGAAAUGGAACAAGAAACUUGCAACCAAAUCCUAUCAAAGCGACGAUGAUUCAUCUUUAGAUACUGUCAACUAAAAGAAAUACAGGGCUGAGAACACCCAGUUGGACAUUUCUUAAGAAAAGGAUAUGUGGAUCACAGCUGACAAGCUACAGGCCAAUAUCUCAUUGCUGAUAAAAAACAAGGAAGCAACAACAACCAGCAAUAAAACCCACACACAAGGGAAAAAAAAACAGACAUCCUAAACACAAAUGCUUUACUUUGGAUAGAUUAAGCCAGCUUCCUCCUUUACACAUAAGGCUUUAGCUAAAAGGCAACGUCCACUUUAGGACGCUUAAUAAGUAAAAUAGGCCAGGGGGUGGAAGCCCAGAGAAAAGCAACAAGAAUGUACCAUUAACCGAAAAAAAACCCUUCUGACUAAAGAACAAAGGGUGUAUCUGGAGAAGACAAGUCUGCAGGGAGAAAUAGUAAUGAUCUUCAGAUGUGUGGAGAGUUGCUGAUGAAGGUUAUAAGCCAUUACAUUUAUUUUCCUAAGCCAACAUAUGAGAUAUUAAAAUGCUCCAAGAGACACUUAAGUUAGGUAUUAACUUCUGAGAUAGCUUUAAGGAUUGCGAAACACAUUUCUUUGGAGAUUACUACAACAGCUUAAACAAACAUUUUUAAGAAGUCAUCUUUAAUACUGGUGACUUGGUCUGGUAGAAAGCUACUAACAUGCUGAAGAUAUACUGAGGUUCCUUUCCAAUCCUAUACCUUGAAUUUUCAGGUAUUGGACUUUCUAGAAAAAUAAUAAUUAAAUAAGUAAUGGCAAUGUAAACCUUUAGCUGUGCAGAAUUAAAAUAAUAAUACUGUUCUACGAAUGCUACAUGUGCCACAAAAGGAAGACUACGUUUUCAACUCUGUCACAAUUAUUGAGUCAACAACUAUGGUUAAUUUCUUAAAUGACGGAAGUGAUUCACUAUAAGGAAGAAACAGAAGCAAGAGAAGAUAUUCAUCCUCUUUUUUAUCUGAUAAAAAACUCAACCUACUUUUUCAAGGCGGGAGAUAUAAUCUCUUUCCAGACGCUCUUCAGCUUGUUUCAAUCCCAGUUGCUGUUCAGCUGUCAGAUUAGCCUCAUCAAUAAUAACAGUGUUUUCUAAAUAAUCAGCUUCCAAGGUAUGUUCUUUAGGCGAUUCAGAAUUCUUUAUUUUACCUAGAGAAAAAAAAACAGUUUUCUUCAGAAUAACUCAGGAAAAGUAAGAAUACAGAGAUCACUGCAGAUAAAAGCAUCUCACUUUAGAGGUGAGGCACAAACUGAGUUAUAUUCCAGGUUGAACACCAGAAUGAGUAAGGUCCAUUUUGCAAACUUCAUAAUCUCCAUUAAGUCCU